UACAGAGGUCUCAAGCGUUUGUUCGGAUUCAUUGGGCGUAAAGGGUGUGUAGGUGGCGCCGUAAGUCGGGUGUGAAAUUUCGGAGCUUAACUCCGAAACUGCAUUCGAUACUGCGGUGCUUUGAGGACUGGAGAGGAGACUGGAAUUCAUGGUGUAGCAGUGAAAUGCGUAGAGAUCAUGAGGAAGACCAGUGGCGAAGGCGGGUCUCUGGACAGUUCCUGACACUGAGACACGAAGGCCAGGGGAGCAAACGGG
rnacentral:rRNA from 1 species